CCUACGGGAGGCAGCAGUGGGGAAUAUUGCACAAUGGGGGAAACCCUGAUGCAGCGACGCCGCGUGAGUGAAGAAGUAAUUCGUUAUGUAAAGCUCUAUCAGCAGGGAAGAAAAUGACGGUACCUGAGUAAGAAGCCCCGGCUAACUACGUGCCAGCAGCCGCGGUAAUACGUAGGGGGCAAGCGUUAUCCGGAUUUACUGGGUGGAAAGGGAGCGUAGACGGCAGGGCAAGUCUGGAGUGAAAGGCGGGGGCUCAACCCCCGGACUGCUCUGGAAACUGUACGGCUGGAGUGCAGGAGAGGUAAGUGGAAUUCCUAGUGUAGCGGUGAAAUGCGUAGAUAUUAGGAGGAACACCAGUGGCGAAGGCGGCUUACUGGACUGUAACUGACGUUGAGGCUCGAAAGCGUGGGGAGCAAACAGGAUUAGAUACCCCAGUAGUC
rnacentral:rRNA from 1 species